rnacentral:pre_miRNA from 1 species
GUGGCUGCACGGGCCAGGUAAAGCGUGCCGACACGGCUCGGAUACGGCUCGCUCGGAACGGCCCGGCUCGGGUGGCAGU